rnacentral:lncRNA from 1 species
AGCAUGCCUCUCCUUAAUGACAAUAUGCCUUGUCCAUUGCUGUUCUGGUUAGUGUUUAUUGGCUUAUUUCACUGUAGAGCCUCUAGUCCUGCUCACUAUACCUUAUCCAACCUAUUAGUUCCACCACCCACACAUGCAAUGACAUCUCCUGGKUUCAAUGAUGUUUCUAGAGWCAAUAUCUCUCUCUUCAUCACUCAAUACCUAGGUUUACCUCCACUGUAUUCACAUCCUACCAUACCUUUGUCUGUACAUUAUACCUUGAUGCUAUUUUAUCGCCCCCAGAAACCUCCUUUUACUCUCUGUUCCAGACGUUCUAGACGACCAAUUCUUAUUGCUUUUAGGCGUACCCUUAUUCUAUUCCUCCUCUGUUCCUCUGGCGAUGUAGAGGUAAAUCCAGGCCCUGCAGUGCCUAGCUCCACUCCUAUUCCCCAGGCGCUCUCUUUUGACGACUUCUGUAACCAUAAUAGCCUUGGUUUCAUGCAUGUUAACAUUAGAAGCCUCCUCCCUAAGUUUGUUCUAUUCACUGCUUUAGCACACUCUGCCAACCCAGAUGUUCUAGCUGUAUCUGAAUCCUGGCUUAGGAAGACCACCAAAAAUUCUGACAUUUUAAUCCCAAACUACAACAUUUUCAGACAAGAUAGAACUGCCAAAGGGGGCGGUGUUGCAAUCGAUUGCAAAGAUAGCCUGCAGAGUUCUGUCCUACUAUCCAGGUCUGUACCCAAACAAUUUGAACUUCUACUUUUAAAAAUCCACCUCUCUAAAAACAAGUCUCUCACCGUUGCCACCUGCUAUAGACCACCCUCUGCCCCCAGCUGUGCUCUGGACACCAUAUGUGAACUGAUUGCCCCCCCAUCUAUCUUCAAGAGCUCGUGCUGCUAGGCGACCUAAACUGGAACAUGCUUAACACCCCAGCCAUCCUACAAUCUAAACUUGAUGCCCUCAAUCUCACACAAAUUAUCAAUGAACCUACCAGGUACCUCCCCAAAGCCUUAAACACGGGCACCCUCAUAGACAUCAUCCUAACCAACUUGCCCUCUAAAUACACCUCUGCUGUCUUCAACCAAGAUCUCAGCGAUCACUGCCUCAUUGCCUGCAUCCGUAAUGGGUCAGCGGUCAAACGACCUUCCACUCAUCACUGUCAAACGAAAAAGCCUCGGCAUCCGAAAAAAAAAAAAAAACCAAAAACAAAACAAAAACCCUCAAAACCCAAAACAAAACCCAAAAAAAACACAAACAAAAAAAACAGGAAACCACAACGGAAGA